AUCUGCAGACAUAUCUCUUGGGCUAUGGACUUGUGAACUCUCAGAAGCUAAGCAGGGUUGGGCUUGGCUAGUAGCUGAACAGGAGACCACCAAGGAAUUCCAGAUGCUACAGAAA
rnacentral:rRNA from 1 species